rnacentral:tRNA from 1 species
GGCGGUUUGGCCGAGUGGUCUAAGGCGAUUGAGUAUGUGUCACUAGAAAACAUGUUCAAUCUGAAUUUUCACUAACCAAUACAACAGCUCGAAAUCAAUUCUCUUCGGAGGCGCAUGUUCGAAUCAUGCAGCCGUCG